UUUCCGUAGGUGAACCUGCGGAAGGAUCAUUAAAGUUAUGGUCCCCCGGCCCCUCCGGGCUGGGGUCUUCUAUACCACCCUUUGUUUAUUACACCUUUGUUGCUUUGGCAGGCCUGCCCUCGGGCUGCUGGCUCCGGCCGGCUCGUGCCUGCCAGAGGACCUAAACUCUGUUUGUAUAUGAAGUCUGAGUACUAUAUAAUAGUUAAAACUUUCAACAACGGAUCUCUUGGUUCUG
rnacentral:misc_RNA from 1 species